rnacentral:tRNA from 1 species
GGGCCCAUAGCUCAAUCGGUUAGAGCGAGAAACUCAUAAUUUCGGGGUUCCAGGUUCGAGUCCUGGUGGGCCCA